CAGUAGCCGCGGUAAUGCGUAGGUGGCAAGCGUUGUCCGGAAUUAUUGGGCGUAAAGGGCUCGCAGGCGGUUUCUUAAGUCUGAUGUGAAAGCCCCCGGCUCAACCGGGGAGGGUCAUUGGAAACUGGGAAACUUGAGUGCAGAAGAGGAGAGUGGAAUUCCACGUGUAGCGGUGAAAUGCGUAGAGAUGUGGAGGAACACCAGUGGCGAAGGCGACUCUCUGGUCUGUAACUGACGCUGAGGAGCGAAAGCGUGGGGAGCGAACAGGAUUAGAGACCCCUGUAGUCCCUGUCUCUUAUAC
rnacentral:rRNA from 1 species